UACGGAGGGUGCGAGCGUUGUCCGGAAUCACUGGGCGUAAAGGGCGCGUAGGCGGCCUGAUAAGUAGGGGGUGAAAUCCUGCGGCUUAACCGCAGGGCUGCCUUCUAAACUGUCAGGCUCGAGCACAGUAGAGGCAGGUGGAAUUCCCGGUGUAGCGGUGGAAUGCGUAGAGAUCCGGAGGAAGACCGGUGGCGAAGGCGGCCUGCUGGGCAGUUUCUGACACUGAGGCGCGACAGCGUGGGGAGCAAACAGG
rnacentral:rRNA from 1 species